GUAUGUGCUAUUUUUAAAAAUUGACUUUUUUUUGUACACAUAUUUUCAGACUAUAAAAUACCAUAAUGCAUCCUUAUGUUUUCAAUAGGAACAAUAGGAUUGGGUGUACUUUGUUUGGGGAGAUGGUGGAUCAAAUCCGACCACACCUUGAAGAAGAAAAUGUGGAACCCCUUAUUAUUGUGCUGCAAUAUUUCAAAACAUCCCGGUGGAACGCCAAAACCACUGUUUAGAGCCACUUUUACAUCUCCAAGAUCCACAUUGUGAGGGAUUUAAAAGAGGUGGUUAGUUUUAGGAACAGGCUCCUGAGUGGUGCACCACUAAACUCAAUUAGGAUUAGUCAACUUUCAUCUCAGGGAGCUUGGUCUGCGGCUGAUGAACUGAAGCAGGGGUCGGUUGCAGUUAAGACCAUCGAGGAGGCCCUAAAUGUUGCAGAGGUAGCUGCAUGUUGGAUUGCUGCAACCAUUAUUUCUAUCAAUGCUGGAAAGAAUGAUUGGUUCUACAAAGCAUGUAGAAAGUGCCCAAAAAAAGUUGAAACUUC